GUAGCUGUGGUUGUAGCCGUAAAUCCUUCCCGUGGUUGCUGAUUUAAAAAAAAAAAAAAGAGAGAGAGAGAGAGAGAGAGAGAGAGACGACCGUUCCGUUUUUGUCCUGUGAUUUAGAGCUCGGCACCGAUCAGGCGCUGUCCAAGGGGCAUUGUUACCAGGGGAAUUGAAAAAGUGCUGCGUCUUCGGAUGUGGUGGGCGCAUUCACGACGGUGUGUUUCAUUUUAAAUUUCUGGGAAGAUUGACAGAUUGAGAGCUCUUUCUCGAUUCGGUGGAUGGUGGUGCAUGUUCGUUCUUGAUGGAGCGAUUUGUCUGGUUGAUUCCGAUAACGAACGAGACUCUAGCCUAUUAGACAGGUGCGUGGUUCUCUGCACCUUGCACCCUUCUUAGAGGGACAAGCGGCUCCUAUCCGCACGAAACAGAGCAAUAACAGGUCUGUGAUACCCUUGGAUGUCCGGGGCCGCACGCGCGCUACACUGAAGAAAGCAGCGCGUUUUUAUCCCUGUCUGUUAAAACAGUUAGCUUAGAAAAAAGUGACUUCAGCAAAUACAGAAGUACAUAAAAUUUCACCAAAAAUAA
rnacentral:ncRNA from 1 species